rnacentral:rRNA from 1 species
UACGGAGGGAGCUAGCGUUGUUCGGAAAUACUGGGCGUAAAGCGCACGUAGGCGGCGCAGCAAGUCAGGGGUGAAAUCCCGGGGCUCAACCCCGGAACUGCCUCUGAAACUGCAGUGCUAGAAUCUUGGAGAGGCGAGUGGAAUUCCGAGUGUAGAGGUGAAAUUCGUAGAUAUUCGGAAGAACACCAGUGGCGAAGGCGACUCGCUGGACAAGUAUUGACGCUGAGGUGCGAAAGCGUGGGGAGCAAACAGGAUUAGAAACCCGGUAGUCC